rnacentral:pre_miRNA from 1 species
AUUAAGUUUACUUUUCAGUUUUUUAAUAUAAUAUUUUGACUUUUUAUCUUAUUUAAAAUAUUAUUGUGAUUAAUAUUUUUAUUAUUACUAGAUGGUAAAACAUAAAUAGUACUUUAUACGUGACUAAUUUUUUAAAGUUUUUUUUACAUAUUUUUCAAAUAAGACGAAUGGUCAAAGUGUUAGACACAUAAAUC